CCUACGGGAUGCAGCAGUGGGGAAUAUUGCACAAUGGGCGCAAGCCUGAUGCAGCCAUGCCGCGUGUAUGAAGAAGGCCUUCGGGUUGUAAAGUACUUUCAGCGGGGAGGAAGGUGUUGUGGUUAAUAACCGCAGCAAUUGACGUUACCCGCAGAAGAAGCACCGGCUGACUCCGUGCCAGCAGCCGCGGUAAUACGGAGGGUGCAAGCGUUAAUCGGAAUUACUGGGCGUAAAGCGCACGUAGGCGGUCUGUCAAGUCGGAUGUGAAAUCCCCGGGCUCAACCUGGGAACUGCAUUCGGAACUGGCAGGUUAGAGUCUUGUAGAGGGGGGUAGAGUUCCAGGUGUAGCGGUGAAAUGCGUAGAGAUCUGGAGGAAUACCGGUGGCGAAGGCGGCCCCCUGGACAAAGACUGACGCUCAGGUGCGAAAGCGUGGGGAGCAAACAGGAUUAGAUACCCUCGUAGUC
rnacentral:rRNA from 1 species